ensembl:lncRNA
CCCCUUCCUAUAUCUGCUUGCUUUGGCUUGAUAGUAAUAUAGGCUCAAACACAUUCUUAAAAAAAAGAAUCUAUAUUUUCUUACUUUGCUUCCCCACAUUUUAUGAACUUAAUGUCCUUUUUUUUAACAUAUUCAUGUUUGUCUUUUUGCUGUUCCUUGUUUAUUGUCACUUUUAUAGUAGUUUUUUUUUCCUUUUAGAUCUAUAUAGUGGCUUAUUAAGUGAUUGCUUUCCAAUUGUGAUUUCCUCCAUCCUAUUUCUUUUGUUGUUGUUGUUGUUUUGUUUGUCUUUUUGCCAUUUCUUGGGCCACUCCUGUGGCAUAUGGAGCAGCCCUAGCACAGGCAAAAAGACAAAAAAAAAAAAAUUCCCACAGCAGUCCACCCUACCUCCUCUUGCCCUCCCCAACAAUGGCACCUUGCUUCUCCUACAGGCCCAGACAAUCUCCCAGGUUCCCUCAGCUGUGGCGCUCUGCUCCCCAGCCCUUGGUCUGCCAUUCCCUAGCUCCCUCAGGCUGUCUCCACACUGCUGACCCCAGUCCUCUUGCUGCAACUGACCUAUAGAGCCCAAGUCUCAGUGCCCACCCCCCACCUGAGCAUCUCUCAGGGUGUGGUGUCCAGAGGCAGUAGUACAGGUGGUCUUUGUGGCUCUCACUCUGCUUUUCCCUCCUCAGUCCAGCUGCUGCUCUUUCCUCUGUGGCCUUGAGGUCCCUCUGCCUCAGCUGAUCUGUCGGUUAUCUGGCUUCCCAGGAUGUGAGUUACUUUCCUCUUUCUCAGCUCCCUCUCAGGAAUGCUGGUCCCAUCCUGAUCUCUUUUUCUUUUUGUUCAACCCCAUUAUGUGGAGUGUUUCUUUCCCUUUUUGGAGGUUUAAGGUCUUCUGCCAAGAUUCAGUAGGUGUUCUGUGUGAAUUGUUCAACAGGUAGAUGGCUUUUUUUUUAUGUGUUUGUGGGAAAAGGUGAGCACCAUGUCUUACUCCUCUGCCGUCUUGAUCCCACUUCCAACAAAUACUUUUUGAAUGAGUUUCUACCAUGUGCCAGGUACUGUGGAUAUAAAAAUGAAAAGAAUGUAGCUCUCUUUUUUUGGAUUUUAUUUACUUUUUCAUUGAUGUAUAGUUGAUUUACAAUGUGUUAGUUUCAGGUGUACAGCACAGUGAUUUGGUUAUAUAUGUGUGUGUGUAUGUAGAUGUAGUUUUUAAGAUUCUUUUCCCUUAUAUAAGUUACCACAAAAUAUAGUUCACAAAAUAUAGUUCCCUGUGCUGUACAGUAGACCUUUGUUGAUUAUCUCAUUUGUAUAUAGUAGUAUGUAUACAUUAAUCCCAAACUCAUAAUUUAUCCCUCCUCCACCUCAACCUUUCCCCUUUUGUAACCAUAAAUUUGUUUUCCAUGUCUGUGAGCUUGUUUCUGUUUUAUAAAUAAGUUCAUUUUAUUUUUUUUAGAUUCCACAUAUAAAUGAUAUUAUAUUUAUCUUUCUCUAUCUGGCUUACUUUGCUUAGUAAGAUAACCUCUAAGUUCAUUCAUGUUGCUGCAAAUAGCAUUAUUGCAUUCUUUUUAUGGCUAAUAUUCCAGUAUAUAUGUGUGUGUGUGUGUGUAUAGUGUGUAUAUGUGCAUAUAUAUAGUGUAUAUUAUAUGUAUAUAUACACACACAUGUAUAUAUAUGACACACAUACAUACCACAUCUUCUUUCUCCAUUCAUCUAUUGAUAGACAUUUAGAUUGCUUCCAUGUUCCAAGUCUUGGCUAUUGUACAUAGUGCUGCAAUGGACACUGGGGUGUAUUAUCUUUUCAAAUUAGAAUUUUGUCUGAAUAUAUGGCCAGGAGUGAGAUUGCAGGUUAAUAUGGUAACUCUAUUUUUAGUGUUUUUCUUUGUUUGUUUUUGUCUUUUUGCCAUUUCUUGGGCCGCUCCAGCGGCAUAUGGAGGUUCCCAGGCUAGGGGUCUAAUCAGAGCUGUUGCUGCCGGCCUACAGCACAGCUCACAGCAAUGCCAGAUCCUUAACCCACUGAUCAAGGCCGGGGAUCAAACCCACAACCUCAUCGUUCUUAGUCGGAUUCAUUAACCACUGAGCCACGACGGGAACUCCUAUUUUUAGUUUUUUAAGGAACCUCCACGCUGUUCUCCAGAGUGGUUGUACCAAUUUACAUUCCCACCAAUGGUGUAGGAGGGUUCCUUUUUCUCCACACCCUCUCUAGCAUUUAUUAUUUGUAGACUUACUAAUGAUAGCCAUUCUCACUGGGGUGAGGUGA